AUCGCAGGAGAGAACCAGGAAGAAGCAAAAGGACAUGGGCCCCAAGAGCCCUUGUGUGGUUCUGGGGUGCCCAGUUCUCUGUGCCUCUCUGCUUGAGCCAGACAAGGAAAUGUGAUGUUUUCAUUUGUAGGAAAACCCAUCCAAGGGCCAAGAGUGGCAGUCAGGGCCUUUCAGAGCUCUUCUGCCCUCUGUAGCCAGAGGAAAGGAAAUUCAGACUUCCAGGAAAACCAAGGCUUAAAGAAAACCAGAAACCAGACAACGUGAUUCAACCAUCUAGGGGUGGAGUUGGUGAGCUGAGGCUGUUGGAUUUCUACUUGACUCUGUUCUUUCUGUUCUUCCCUAACUAACCAACUCAGGGAAGGAAGGGAGCAGGGGAAGCCAAGAGAAGAUUGGUGGCUCCUAAGGAAGUUCAAGCUGGUUUCCGGCAGGGCCAUGGCUAUUGUGGAGUGUGGGUGUGCAAAAAUACAGCUUCAUGGGAAACAAUGCUGUCUUGGAGGACAACAGCCAUGGUCACUGCUGCCUCAGAAAUUGAUGAGCAGUUGGUCUUUCACCCAGGAGUCACAUAAGUGCCUCUUUCCAGAAGACAACUAAUUCUCACAUGAACCCCUGGGAAGUAGGGGACAUGCUGUUGCCUCAGGGUGAGGCUCCCUCAGAGACAAAUUCCACCCAGACCUCCCAUCUGCUGCUUGCUGCCUGAAGACUUCAUCUGAAGGAAAGCCGCUGGAUUGCUGAGGAGUUCGGUGCCCCACACCUGCAAGUAGGCCAUCUCAUGGUUCGAUGGCCUGGGGAUGGCCUGGGAAAGAAGGCAGCUGGCUUCCUUUGUGACCACUGAGCUUUGCAGGGGUGGGACAGGAGAGACAGCUGCCACCAGUUAUCUUCAUAUAGCUCAAGGUUCCCAAAGUCAGCACUUCCAGAAUCCACGAUCCAAGCAGCUGCUUCACUGCUAACUGCUAACUUCCCAUUUUCAGAGAGUCUGCGGGCAUAGGCCUAGAGAAUUCCUGUGCUAUGCCUUUCUGAGUGGCUGAGACCCACACUUGAACAGCCUGUGAUGGGGACGGUGGAUGUUGACCAGAAGGUUCCAUGGGACUUGGAGAAUGUGAUAGUUAAUAUUGUCAAUUUGACAAAACUUAAAAUUAUCUGUGAGGGAUUUUUAGAUAGGUCACCUGAGGAGAGAAGACCAUUCUCAAUGUGGGCAGUACCGCUCCAUGGGCCGGGGUCCUGGACAAAUUGCAAAGGAGCAAGUGAGCUGAGCAUUAGCUUUCAACUGUUUCUUGAUUACAGACACAAGGUGGUCAGCCACCUCGGGCUCAGACUGCCAUGACUUCCCCUCUAUAAUGGGCUGAGCCUCCAGUCAUGAAGUGAAAUAAAGCCUGCCUGCCUGCC